GCCCAGGCAGCAACAGUGGGGAUCUGAAAUCAGGGAAGGCCGAAUGGACAGACUUCCUAGCCUCGGUGUCUUUUCUCCUGCCGUUUGUGCCUCCAUCAAAAACCUCCCUCAUGUGACUCUCCUAUCCGUGUGCCCGGGAUCGCCAGGAAAAGUUACCCCAAAAAAGGCAACUGUAUGUGCUGCAUCAAUUCAGAGGCACGUGCACGUUGUCAGGAAUCACUUUUUAAAGACACCAUAGAUUUGACCUAGAUGCAGAUUCUGACUUCACUGCUUUCCAAGCUGUAUGACUUUGGACAAAUCACUUCUCUAGAUCUCAGGCUUCUCCACUGAAACGUGGUGAGAAUUCAAAGAAAUUGUGUCUGCCAAGUGAACCCCCCAAGGCAUGCCCCCCACCCACUUUUCUUGCUGAUCCUUUCUCCCUAGUACUCAUGUUUAUUAUAUAUUUUCUUUUUGUCAUUGUGUUUUUUUGGGCUCUCUUCCCCGUCAGAAUGUAAGCUCUACGAGAGCAAGGAAUUUCAUCGGUUUGGUUCACUGAUGGAUCUCCAAAGCUUAAAAGAAUUGCUGGCACACAAUAGGUGUUCCAGAGAUAUGUACUGAAUAAAUGAAUGAGUAGAAACUA